GGCUUGCGAUUUUUCGGAAAUCCCAAUUUUUUGUAAUCCAUUUAUUCAUAGCCUGAAUAGGCCGAAACACUUCCAACAGGAUGGAGAUUGAUGUAUAUGCCACCCACCAGCGUUUUUUAGAAAAGUCAGUGGACAUGGCUGUUUCGAUAUUUUACUGGGCUAUAGGCUUACCUUUUUUCGGAAAUCCCAAUUUCUUGUAAUCCAUUUAUUCAUCUCCUGAACAGGUGGAAACACAUCCAGUAGGAUGGAAAUUGA
rnacentral:lncRNA from 1 species